CUCAGAACGAACGCUGGCGGCAGGCUUAACACAUGCAAGUCGAACGCCCCGCAAGGGGAGUGGCAGACGGGUGAGUAACGCGUGGGAAUCUACCGUGCCCUGCGGAAUAGCUCCGGGAAACUGGAAUUAAUACCGCAUACGCCCUACGGGGGAAAGAUUUAUCGGGGUAUGAUGAGCCCGCGUUGGAUUAGCUAGUUGGUGGGGUAAAGGCCUACCAAGGCGACGAUCCAUAGCUGGUCUGAGAGGAUGAUCAGCCACAUUGGGACUGAGACACGGCCCAAACUCCUACGGGAGGCAGCAGUGGGGAAUAUUGGACAAUGGGCGCAAGCCUGAUCCAGCCAUGCCGCGUGAGUGAUGAAGGCCUUAGGGUUGUAAAGCUCUUUCACCGGAGAAGAUAA
rnacentral:rRNA from 1 species